CAGACACAAACACGUACGCCCAGACACACACACACAUGCACACAUGCAGACACACAUACACCCAUACACACACACACACACACACACACACACACACACACGAAUACUCAGAAACACAUAGGCACACACAUAUACACACACACAUACAGAGAUACACACACAAACAGGCACACACAUAUGCACACACACACAAUUGAACUUAUCAACAAUUUACUCCCUACUUACAUUUCUUUUUAUUUUCUACUUUUUUUUGAGUUUUCAGGCAUCUAUUGCUCACUCAAUAAAGAGAAAUAUUCAUAUAGUUAAGAA
rnacentral:lncRNA from 1 species